CCUAGUGGCGGACGGGUGAGGAAUACGUAGGGAUCUGCCUGUUAGAGGGGGAUAAGCCGGGGAAACUCGGUCUAAUACCGCAUACGCUCUACGGAGGAAAGUAUGGGAUUUAAUUACCAUACGCUAACAGAUGAACCUACGUCGGAUUAGCUAGUUGGUGAGGUAAUGGCUCACCAAGGCGACGAUCCGUAACUGGUCUGAGAGGAUGAUCAGUCACACCGGAACUGAGACACGGUCCGGACUCCUACGGGAGGCAGCAGUGGGGAAUAUUGGACAAUGGGCGAAAGCCUGAUCCAGCAAUACCGCGUGUGUGAAGAAGGCCUUCGGGUUGUAAAGCACUUUAAGUUGGGAAGAAAAAGCUUCACCUAAUACGUGAAGCCUUGACGGUACCGACAGAAUAAGCACCGGCUAACUCUGUG
rnacentral:rRNA from 1 species